rnacentral:misc_RNA from 1 species
GGCUUUCACUCAAAACCAACAGUUUACAAUCAAACCAAACAGAUUUAUUUCGGUUUGGUUACGAUUAUGAAUAAAGAAUAGGAGACUUGUUGGAGGAGAAAAGAUAGGUACAUGCUUUGAUUAUUAAUGAGAAAAGAAUUGAGAAGAUGACAAAGGAAAGAAAGGAGGAAAGAUGUAAUGAUCAUUGACAUGAAAUUAAGGGCAAU